CCUACGGGUGGCAGCAGUGAGGAAUAUUGGUCAAUGGGCGCGAGCCUGAACCAGCCAAGUAGCGUGCAGGAUGACUGCCCUAUGGGUUGUAAACUUCUUUUAUAAAGGAAUAAAGUGAGGCACGUGUGCCUUUUUGUAUGUAUUUUAUGAAUAAGGAUCGGCUAACUCCGUGCCAGCAGCCGCGGUAAUACGGAGGAUUCGAGCGUUAUCCAGAUUUAUUGGGUUUAAAGGGAGCGUAGAUGGGUUGUUAAGUCAGUUGUGAAAUGUUGCGGCUCAACUGUAAAAUUGCAAUUGAUACUGGCAGUCUUGAGUAUAGUUGAGGUAGGCGGAAUGCGUGGUGUAGCGGUGAAAUGCUUAGAUAUCAUGAAGAACACCGAUUGCGAAGGCAGCUUACUAAGCUGCCACUGACGUUGAUGCUCGAAAGUGUGGGUAUCAAACAGGAUUAGAUACCCGUGUAGUC
rnacentral:rRNA from 1 species